rnacentral:rRNA from 1 species
UACGUAGGGGGCAAGCGUUGUCCGGAAUCAUUGGGCGUAAAGCGCGUGUAGGCGGUUCGGGAAGUCGGCUGUGAAAGUCCAGGGCUCAACCCUGGGAUGCCGGUCGAUACUGCCGGACUAGAGUUCGGAAGAGGCGAGUGGAAUUCCCGGUGUAGCGGUGAAAUGCGCAGAUAUCGGGAGGAACACCAAUGGCGAAGGCAGCUCGCUGGGACGUUACUGACGCUGAGACGCGAAAGCGUGGGGAGCAAACAGG